GACGAACGCUGGCGGCGUGCUUAACACAUGCAAGUCGAACGGAAAGGCCCUGCUUUUGUGGGGUGCUCGAGUGGCGAACGGGUGAGUAACACGUGAGUAACCUGCCCUUGACUUUGGGAUAACUUCAGGAAACUGGGGCUAAUACCGGAUAGGAGCUCCUGCUGCAUGGUGGGGGUUGGAAAGUUUCGGCGGUUGGGGAUGGACUCGCGGCUUAUCAGCUUGUUGGUGGGGUAGUGGCUUACCAAGGCUUUGACGGGUAGCCGGCCUGAGAGGGUGACCGGCCACAUUGGGACUGAGGUACGGCGCAGACGCCUACGGGAGGCAGCAGUGGGGAAUAUUGCACAAUGGGCGGAAGCCUGAUGCAGCAACGCCGCGUGCGGGAUGACGGCCUUCGGGUUGUAAACCGCUUUCGCCUGUGACGAAGCGUGAGUGACGGUAAUGAGUAAAGAAGCACCGGCUAACUACGUG
rnacentral:rRNA from 1 species